rnacentral:rRNA from 1 species
GCCAUUGGAAACGAUGAUUAAAACCUCAUAAUGCCGAAGGAACACAUGUUUCAUCGGCCAAAGAUUUAUCGGUCAGGGAUGGGCCUGCGUCUGAUUAACUAGUUGGUGAGGUAACGGCCCACCAAGGUGACGAUCAGUAGCCGACCUGAGAGGGUGAUCGGCCACAUUGGAACUGAGACACGGUCCAAACUUCUACGGAAGGCAGCAGUAGGGAAUCUUGCACAAUGGGCGAAAGCCUGAUGCAGCAACGCCGCGUGAAGGAUGAAGGCCUUCGGGUUGUAAACUUCUGUUCUUAGGGAAGAAGAAAGUGACGGUACCUAAGGAGAAAGCCCCGGCUAACUACGUGCCAGCAGCCGCGGUAAUACGUAGGGGGCAAGCGUUAUCCGGAAUUAUUGGGCGUAAAGAGUGCGUAGGUGGUUAUCUAAGCGUAAGGUUUAAGCGUGCAGCUCAACUGCAUCUCGCCUUGCGAACUGGACUACUUGAGUGCAGGAGGGGAAAGCGGAAUUCCUAGUGUAGCGGUGAAAUGCGUAGAUAUUAGGAGGAACACCAGCGGCGAAGGCGGCUUUCUGGACUGUAACUGACACUGAGGCACGAAAGCGUGGGGAGCAAACAGGAUUAGAUACCCUGGUAGUCCACGCCGUAAACGAUGAGCACUAGAUGUUGGUCCCGAAGGGAUCAGUGUCGCAGUUAACGCAAUAAGUGCUCCGCCUGGGGAGUACGCUCGCAAGAGUAAAACUCAAAGGAAUUGACGGGGACCCG